rnacentral:rRNA from 1 species
AUUAGCUAGUUGGAGAGGUAAUGGCUCAGCGAGGCGACUAUCCCUAGCUGGGUUGAGAGGAUGAUCAGCCACACUGGGACUGAGACACGGACCAGACUCCUACGGGAGGCUGCAGUGGGGAAUAUUGCACAAUGGGCGCAAGCCUGAUGCAGCCAUGCCGCGUGUGUGAAGAAGGCCUUCGGUUUGUAAAGCACUUUCAGUCAGGAGGAAAGGUUAGUAGUUAAUACCUGCUAGCUGUGACGUUACUGACAGAAGAAGCACCGGCUAACUCCGUGCCAGCAGCCGCGGUAAUACGGAGGGUGCGAGCGUUAAUCGGAAUUACUGGGCGUAAAGCGUACGCAGGCGGUUUGUUAAGCGAGAUGUGAAAGCCCCGGGCUCAAACCUGGGAAACUGCAUUUCGAACUGGCAAACUAAAGUGUGAUAGAGGGUGGUAGAAUUUUCACGUGUAGCGGUGGAAUGCGUAGAGAUCUGAAGGAAUACCUUAUGGCGAAAGGCACCCUACCUGGGUCAA